ACCACAGCGCAGUUGAAGUGUCUAACUAACCUAGAGAAUCGUUUUCAUCAAGCAUUCGAAGAACUGAAAUAUGUUGCUGACAAGAAUAUUUCUGAUGUCCUUAACGCUGGCUGCAGUAAACUGUCGGCCAAAUUUCCCCUACAAUCAGAGUGUUCCUUACACUAACUUGCAAUCCGACCCAGACAAUUUUAACCCCUUGGAUUUCUUCAUGUCAUAUGAUGAAACCAAUCAAUGGUUGGCAGCUCUAGAGGCGAAAUAUCCAGACAAGUGCAAGGUUGAACCGAUUGGUCGAUCGUACGAAGGGCGUGAAAUCAACGCCAUCUACAUCAACAAGCAACAAAACAAGAAGGUUUUUGUAGUAGCCAACAUGCAUGCCCGUGAAUGGGCUGCCAUGACAUCGGCCAUCUACAUCAUUCGUGAACUCCUUCGUAAUUCCAACAGCUACCCAGAAGCGUCUACGUAUCAGUGGAUCGUUGUGCCCAUGGCGAAUCCAGACGGUUACGAGUAUACCAAAGCUGGUGAUCGUUUCUGGCGCAAAAAUCGUGCCCCACAGCAAGACAACGCCCUCGGAGUUGACCUAAACCGUAACUUUGGUUACAAGUGGGAGUUGUACCUGAAUGAAGAAGAUGACAUUCCGAAGGAAGAAACGUACCGCGGUCCAUCCGCAUUUUCUGAGCCAGAAAGUCGCGCAAUAGGUGAUUUUCUGCAGCAAUAUGCUAAGUCCAUCGUACUGUUCGUAGAUCUACAUACAUACGGAGAGUACAUCCUAAUUCCCUUGGGUUAUACGACAGAGCCUGCACCAAACGCUGAUUUUCUCAUGUCCGUAGCGCAGGCCGGAUCCGCGGCCGUAUUAUCUCAAACGAAUCAAUUUUAUCUAGUUGGUACUCCACCGCAGCUAUUGUACGCGGUGUCCGGAUCAAGCUUAGAUUACUGUUACUCUGUUGGCGUCAAAGCGUGUAUUGCUAUCGAACUGACGGGUGAUGGGUUUGAAAUUGAGCCAAAUAAUAUCAUUCCACAUGGCCAAGAAGCACUCGCCGCAGUGCAAGCAAUGGCAGUCAAAGCGGAUGAAGGAUAAAAGCCCCAAUUUGACAUGUAUGGCUUAUUCGGUAUGAAUUUCUGAGUUUUUUCAAUUUUAAAAUUUUAAUAAAUGAUUAUAGAAAUGAUAAUUUAAAAAACCAAAGAUUUUUCCCCUAUUAGUUUUAAAAUUUCAUGAAAUGCAAGUUAAAUUUCAUGGAACGUAAGAACAAUUGUUGUGUAUUAUUAACUUUUUUACAUUACUGACUGAUCUUGCCUUUCCUGUCUCGUAGUACAGCUGUCAAAUCGUAACAAAAUGCCUCGAAUGGACCGAAUGAUCCGAUGAUCCGAGAAUGAUCCAAAUGCAAAUAAGUAUCCGGAAACGAUACAUGAUACAACGAUACAGAAACUGACGUAUGUUCCAUUGUACUAUUAUUACAAAAACAAACUUAAAUAGCUGACAGAAUAGCUACAUUGUUCUCAUAACAUCUAGGCAACGUUGUUUGAGAUGAAUAAUAAUGUAUAUCACGCUUAAGGGAUGUUUACUUAUCGCGUUCAAUUUGUCGCGCGUUAAUUACUUGUUUCAUUCAUAAUUUGUUCCACAUAAUAUGCGUGUAAUUACUGCUCAACUGAUUUUUUGGUAUAAAAACCUGCAGGAGUGUACAGUUUCGUGAUACAGUGCUUCAAUUCCACGCAUGUAAUAUGGUUCAAAAACUUUCAUUGCUGAGCAGCCAGUCCGUUGCACUAAUGUUGCUUUUACUUGUUACCAUUAUCAGUAUACCGGGAUUUCAAGCUAUACCAGGCGAUCUUCCGCGUGAGUGCUACAAUAGGACUUUUGCAGAUGAAUUCAACGUGUUCGAUUUCUUUUUAUCGUAUGAAGAUACUCAACAAUGGUUAGACGCACUAGCAAC